rnacentral:rRNA from 1 species
GACGAGGGACCUAGCGUUGUUCGGAAUCAUUGGGCGUAAAGCGGGUGUAGGCGGACUUAUAAGUCAGGUGUGAAAUCCCAGGGCUCAACCCUGGAAGUGCAUUUGAUACUGUAAGUCUUGAAUGUGGUAGAGGUUACUGGAAUUGCUGGUGUAGUGGUGAAAUACGUAGAUAUCAGCAGGAACACCGGAGGCGAAGGCGGGUAACUGGGCCAACAUGACGCUGAGACCCGAAAGCGUGGGGAUCAAACAGG